UACGAAGGGGGCUAGCGUUGUUCGGAAUUACUGGGCGUAAAGCGCGCGUAGGCGGUCCGUUAAGUGCACCAGUGAAAGCUCCUGGCUCAACCAGGAAACUGCUUUGCAUACUGGCGGGCUGGAGGGACGCAGAGGUCGUGUGGAAUUCCUGGUGUAGCGGUGAAAUGUGUUGAUAUCAGGAGGAACACCCAUGGCGAAGGCAGCAGACUGGGCGGUUACUGACGCUGAGGCGCGAAAGCGUGGGUAGCAAACAGG
rnacentral:rRNA from 1 species